AUUGAACGCUGGCAGCAUGCUUUACACAUGCAAGUCGAACGGUAACAGGUUAAGCUGACGAGUGGCGAACGGGUGAGUAAUGCAUCGGAACGUGCCCGGUCGUGGGGGAUAACGCAGCGAAAGCCGCGCUAAUACCGCAUACGAUCUGAGGAUGAAAGCGGGGGACCGUAAGGCCUCGCGCGAUCGGAGCGGCCGAUGUCAGAUUAGGUAGUUGGUGAGGUAAAGGCUCACCAAGCCAACGAUCUGUAGCUGGUCUGAGAGGACGACCAGCCACACGGGGACGGAGACACGGCCCAGACUCCUACGGGAGGCAGCAGUGGGGAAUUUUGGACAAUGGGCGAAAGCCUGAUCCAGCAAUGCCGCGUGCAGGAAGAAGGCCUUCGGGUUGUAAACUGCUUCUGUACGGAGCGAAAAGGCUCUCUCUAAUACAGGGGGCUCAUGACGGUACCGUAAGAAUAAGCACCGGCUAACUACGUGCCAGCCGCCGCCGUAA
rnacentral:rRNA from 1 species